GACGAACGCUGGCGGCGUGCCUAAUACAUGCAAGUCGAGCGGAACUGGGGGAGCUUGCUCCUUCCAGCUUAGCGGCGGACGGGUGAGUAACACGUGGGCAACCUGCCCUGCAGAUCGGGAUAACUCCGGGAAACCGGUGCUAAUACCGAAUAGUUUGGCGCCUCUCCUGAGGCGCUACGGAAAGACGGUUUCGGCUGUCACUGCAGGGUGGGCCCGCGGCGCAUUAGCUAGUUGGUGGGGUAACGGCCCACCAAGGCGACGAUGCGUAGCCGACCUGAGGGGGUGACCGGCGACGCUGGGACUACGUCACGGCCCAGACUCCUACUGGGGGCAGCAGUGGGGAAUCAUCCGCAAUGGACGCAAGUCUGACGGAGCAACGCCGCGUGAGUGACGAAGGUUUUCGGAUCGUAAAACUCUGUUGUGAGAGAAGAACACGUACCAACUAACUAUUGGUACCUUGACGGUACCUCGCCAGAAAGCCACGGCUAACUACGUGCCAGCCGCCGCGGUAA
rnacentral:rRNA from 1 species